AUUUGAUCUUACUAUGCCUUGAUCACUGCAGACUUUAAUGGCUGUUGGCACCUGAGUGUGAGAGAAAAACAUUGCAUGCUCGGUGGACUAUUUCAGCUGGCUACAGAGUUCCUGGGCAAGAGUGGCCAAAACUGUGCCAUCCACUAUGCUACAACUGGCACAAUUCGCAGAGGCUGCUGGGUUAGCACUGGGAGGACUGAGCCUCGGGGCUGGCGGUCAGUUGACCGGAAGCCAAACCAAAAGACUUGCGGAAUUGUUCGACUAAUACACGCUAGACGCUGACUCUGAGCGGUAUACCGGGAAGGCAGCAUUUUUUCCAUCCGCCUGCAGAACUACAGUUCCC